GAUGGCCAGUCCUGGUGUCUGAGUG
rnacentral:piRNA from 1 species